UUUUUCACCGCUUAACCGUUUGGGGCUAUCUCUGCUGGUUUAUUUCUCAACUGCCUCAUACAGAAAAAGAAUGCAUAAGUAAGCUGCUCUGCACACUUUUUGAUAGCACGUUCGACUUGUCUGCAUAUAAAAAGCCUAUAGAAACUGUUCAAGCUAUUCUUUGGGACGAGCUUAAGGAG